UACAGAGGUCUCAAGCGUUUGUUCGGAUUCAUUGGGCGUAAAGGGUGCGUAGGCGGCGCGGUAAGUCGGGUGUGAAAUCUCGGAGCUUAACUUCGAAACUGCAUUCGAUACUGCCGUGCUUGAGGACUGGAGAGGAGACUGGAAUUUACGGUGUAGCGGUGAAAUGCGUAGAUAUCGUUAAGGAAGACCAGUGGCGAAGGCGGGUCUCUGGACAGUUCCUGACGCUGAGGCACGAAGGUCAGGGGAGCAAACGGG
rnacentral:rRNA from 1 species